rnacentral:piRNA from 1 species
UUCGGUUUGUCUGUGGUAGGUUAGU